AUUGAACGCUGGCGGCAGGCCUAACACAUGCAAGUCGAACGGUAACAGGAAGAAGCUUGCUUCUUUGCUGACGAGUGGCGGACGGGUGAGUAAUGUCUGGGAAACUGCCUGAUGGAGGGGGAUAACUACUGGAAACGGUAGCUAAUACCGCAUAAUGUCGCAAGACCAAAGAGGGGGACCUUCGGGCCUCUUGCCAUCGGAUGUGCCCAGAUGGGAUUAGCUAGUAGGUGGGGUAACGGCUCACCGAGGCGACGAUCCCUAGCUGGUCUGAGAGGAUGACCAGCCACACUGGAACUGAGACACGGUCCAGACUCCUACGGGAGGCAGCAGUGGGGAAUAUUGCACAAUGGGCGCAAGCCUGAUGCAGCUAUGCCGCGUGUAUGAAGAAGGCCUUCGGGUUGUAAAGUACUUUCAGCGGGGAGGAAGGGAGUAAAGUUAAUACCUGUACUCAUUGACGUUACCCGCAGAAGAAGCACCGGCUAACUCCGUG
rnacentral:rRNA from 1 species